AGCAGCCGCGGUAAUUCCAGCUCCAAUAGCGUAUAUUAAAGUUGUUGCAGUUAAAAAGCUCGUAGUUGAAUUUCGGGGUCAGUAGGUUGGUCGUGCCACCGGUACGUACUGGUCUCACUGAUUCCUCCUUCCUGAAGAACCGUAAUGCCAUUAAUUUGGUGUUGCGGGGAAACAGGACUGUUACUUUGAAAAAAUUAGAGUGUUUAAAGCAGGCUAACGCUUGAAUACAUUAGCAUGGAAUAAUGAAAUAGGACGAUCGAUCCUAUUUUGUUGGUUUCUAGGAUUGACGUAAUGAUUAAUAGGGAUAGUUGGGGGCAUUAGUAUUCAAUUGUCAGAGGUGAAAUUCUUGGAUUUAUUGAAGACUAACUACUGCGAAAGCAUUUGCCAAGGAUGUUUUCAUUAAUCAAGAACGAAAGUUAGGGGAUCGAAGACGAUCAGAUACCGUCGUAGUCUUAACCAUAAACUAUGCCGACUAGGGAUCGGAUGAUGUUAAUUUUAUAAUGACUCACUCGGCGCCUUA
rnacentral:rRNA from 1 species